GCCCUACUCUUGCCACAAGGGGAAAGCAAACAGCUGCACCUUUUGGCUUCAGUCUCACAUGCAGAAAUGACACUGGGUGCUCAAAAAAUCAGGUCUCAGCUGAGGCUGGUGAGACCAGUCGAACAACACACCAAACCCCCUGGAGUUGACUGCUGCUACCUGCACAGGUCACUGGAGGAGAGAGAAGACAUGUCUGCCAGGACACAACAUAACUUUUUAUGCUACCAAAGACUUUGAGCAAAUCAAAGCGAACAGGAAAACUGCUGAACUCUUGGAAAACUUUCAGCAACACUCUGGGAUAGCGGUCUGAAGGCUUUGUAAACAGACAACAGCUACAAAGAA